GUGUGCUGGCUUUUGUCCUCUGCCACAAGCCAGGCCGCUGCUAUUGAGCUUUGUGAAUGCAGAUUGAACUAAUGGCUUACUUGCGAUGUUUCUGCUGUCCUCUCUUUAGGCCUUCAGCCCAUGACCGAUGGCGAUGACUCGCCCGAAGGAGCCCCCUGAGGUGCCCCGGCCCCGUCGUGUGUGGAACCCCGAGCUGUGCUGGGCUGGGACAGCCGGGGAGGCGCUCCGGGAGGGCGCUGGAGCCUGGGAGAGCAGAUGUGAAGGGAUAACCUGCCCGUGGGACACAGCGAAAGCUCUGGAGCCGCGUGGGUGAGGUAAAUUGUUGGUGUGGGGCUUCCUGGAGCAGCAGGAGUGGUCAGAAGUAAAGCUGUCGAUGCUGCUUUGAAGAGCCUUGUUUGAAAGGUGAAGAUGGAAACCUGGAGCCCACAGUUUAAAUGGGGCAGCUGGAGAAUUUGUUUUCAGAAUGUGGAUGUAGGAAUUGGAAACAUCAAAGGUGGUUGGGGGCAAGGUAUAACAAGAAUUCUGUGUACAAUUUAUUGUUAAUCUCCUCUCAUUGCUUGUUGGAAAUACAUUUUUACAUGACCUCAAUUAAAUGUAUUUAUAUUUAAGCUU